GCUGGCGGCAGGCUUAACACAUGCAAGUCGAGCGGUAACAGGAGAAGCUUGCUUCUCGCUGACGAGCGGCGGACGGGUGAGUAAUACUUAGGAAUCUGCCCAGUAGUGGGGGAUAGCUCGGGGAAACUCGAAUUAAUACCGCAUACACCCUACGGGGAAAAGGGGGCGCUUGCGCUCUCGCUAUUGGAUGAGCCUAAGUCGGAUUAGCUAGUUGGUGGGGUAAAGGCCUACCAAGGCGACGAUCUGUAGCUGGUCUGAGAGGAUGAUCAGCCACACCGGGACUGAGACACGGCCCGGACUCCUACGGGAGGCAGCAGUGGGGAAUAUUGGACAAUGGGGGCAACCCUGAUCCAGCCAUGCCGCGUGUGUGAAGAAGGCCUUUUGGUUGUAAAGCACUUUAAGCAGUGAAGAAGACCUAACGGUUAAUACCCGUUAGCGAUGACAUUAGCUGCAGAAUAAGCACCGGCUAACUCUGUGCCAGCAGCCGCGGUAAUACAGAGGGUGCAAGCGUUAAUCGGAAUUACUGGGCGUAAAGCGAGCGUAGGUGGCUUGAUAAGUCAGAUGUGAAAUCCCCGGGCUUAACCUGGGAACUGCAUCUGAUACUGUCAGGCUAGAGUAGGUGAGAGGGAGGUAGAAUUUCAGGUGUAGCGGUGAAAUGCGUAGAGAUCUGAAGGAAUACCGAUGGCGAAGGCAGCCUCCUGGCAUCAUACUGACACUGAGGUUCGAAAGCGUGGGUAGCAAACAGGAUUAGAUACCCUGGUAGUCCACGCCGUAAACGAUGUCUACUAGUCGUUGGGGAACUUGAUUCCUUAGUGACGCAGCUAACGCAAUAAGUAGACCGCCUGGGGAGUACGGCCGCAAGGUUAAAACUCAAAUGAAUUGACGGGGGCCCGCACAAGCGGUGGAGCAUGUGGUUUAAUUCGAUGCAACGCGAAGAACCUUACCUGGUCUUGACAUAUCUAGAAUCCUGCAGAGAUGCGGGAGUGCCUUCGGGAAUUAGAAUACAGGUGCUGCAUGGCUGUCGUCAGCUCCUGUCGUGAGAUGUUGGGUUAAGUCCCGCAACGAGCGCAACCCUUUUCCUUAGUUACCAGCGGUUUGGCCGGGGACUCUAAGGAUACUGCCAGUGACAAACUGGAGGAAGGCGGGGACGACGUCAAGUCAUCAUGGCCCUUACGACCAGGGCUACACACGUGCUACAAUGGUAGGUACAGAGGGCAGCUACACAGCGAUGUGAUGCGAAUCUCAAAAAGCCUAUCGUAGUCCAGAUUGGAGUCUGCAACUCGACUCCAUGAAGUAGGAAUCGCUAGUAAUCGCGGAUCAGAAUGCCGCGGUGAAUACGUUCCCGGGCCUUGUACACACCGCCCGUCACACCAUGGGAGUUGAUUGCACCAGAAGUGGGUAGCCUAACUUUUAGAGGGCGCU
rnacentral:rRNA from 1 species